rnacentral:rRNA from 1 species
AUACGGAGGGUGCAAGCGUUAUUCGGAAUCACUGGGCGUAAAGGACGCGUAGGCGGGUUGGCAAGUCAGAUGUGAAAUCCUACAGCUUAACUGUAGAACUGCAUUUGAAACUGCUAACCUAGAGUAUGGGAGGGGGAGAUGGAAUUAGUGGUGUAGGGGUAAAAUCCGUAGAUAUCACUAGGAAUACCGAAAGCGAAGGCGAUCUCCUGGAACAUAACUGACGCUAAGGCGUGAAAGCGUGAGGAGCAAACAGGAUUAGAAACCCCAGUAGUCC